CGCGGGGUGGAGCAGUGGUAGCUCGCUAGGCUCAUAACCUGGAGGUCAUCGGUUCGAAUCCGAUCCCCGCAA
rnacentral:tRNA from 1 species